AUAUAUCAAAUCUUUUUUUCCUACCGAGCCCCGGAAGGGACAUGUCCGUAUGGCGAAGCGACAAUGAAGGACACUCACCCGGACGAGAAUUUUAUUGAGUUUUAUUUUGAAAUUGGCCUGAAAUACACAGACAUUCAAGCAGUGCGAUGCGCUAAGAGUCUGCCAUGCAGACCAGCGAUCCUGAUAAUGUUGUCGGCCUUGGAUGAUGAGGUCCAGUUACCAGGAGCACUAGUCCGCAGCUUACUGGUUCCGUCCUGCAGCUCCUCCACGCUGUCCUCCUCUCUACAGACCAAAUCAAGAAAAGGGAACCAGGAAGCUGCUGUGGAUCCUCUACAGUGUCUGGAGAGGUCAGAGGAACGGUUCUUGGAACAGAUCGGAAGACACCAAGACGUGACCUCUGCCAUGCUCCAGAACAUCCAGAAGAUGAAUGA